AGGUUUCCGUAGGUGAACCUGCGGAAGGAUCAUUCG
rnacentral:rRNA from 1 species